rnacentral:sRNA from 1 species
UACAGGGAAGGAUGAGAAGCUUCGACUAAGGUUCGACUCGAGCGAAGCGAGAGAACGUUGCCGCAGGCAAUGGCCCGAAGGCGAGGCGCUUUAGCGCCGAGUAAUCCUUCCCCCCACCA